UACGUAGGGCGCAAGCGUUGUCCGGAAUUAUUGGGCGUAAAGAGCUCGUAGGCGGCCUGUCGCGUCUGCUGUGAAAUCCCGGGGCUUAACCCCGGGCGUGCAUUCGAUACGGGCUAGCUAGAGUGUGGUAGGGGAGAUCGGAAUUCCUGGUGUAGCGGUGAAAUGCGCAGAUAUCAGGAGGAACACCGGUGGCGAAGGCGGAUCUCUGGGCCAUUACUGACGCUGAGGAGCGAAAGCGUGGGGAGCAAACAGG
rnacentral:rRNA from 1 species